rnacentral:rRNA from 1 species
AGUGAACGCUGGCGGUAGGCCUAACACAUGCAAGUCGAACGGCAGCACAGUAAGAGCUUGCUCUUACGGGUGGCGAGUGGCGGACGGGUGAGGAAUACAUCGGAAUCUACUUUUUCGUGGGGGCUAACGUAGGGAAACUUACGCUAAUACUGCAUACGACCUACGGGUGAAAGCAGGGGAUCUUCGGCCCUUGCGCGAUUGAAUGAGCCGAUGUCGGAUUAGCUAGUUGGCGGGGUAAAGGCCCACCAAGGCGACGAUCCGUAGCUGGUCUGAGAGGAGAACCGUCCAAACUGAAACUGAGACACGGUCCAGACUCCUACGGGAGGCAGCAGUGGGAAAUAUUGGACAAUGGGCGCAAGCCGGAUCCAGCCAGACCGCGGGGGGGAAGAAGGCCUUCGGGUGGUAAAGACCUUUUGUUGGGAAAGAAAAGCAGCAGGUUAAUACCCCGCUGUUCUGACGGUACCCAAAGAAUAAGCACCGGCGAACUUCGU